rnacentral:rRNA from 1 species
CGUACGAUACGUAGUUUGAUCAUGGCUCAGAUUGAACGCUGGCGGAAUGCUUUACACAUGCAAGUCGAGCGGCAGCGCGGGCAACCUGGCGGCGAGCGGCGAACGGGUGAGUAAUGCAUCGGAACGUACCCGUCGGUGGGAAUAACUACCGAAGGGUAGCUAAUACCGCAUACGACCUGAGGGUGAAAGCGGGGGACCGAAAGGCCUCGCGCGAUGGGAGCGGCCGAUGCCGGAUUAGCUAGUUGGUAGGGUAAAGGCCUACCAAGGCGACGAUCCGUAGCUGGUCUGAGAGGACGACCAGCCACACUGGAACUGAGACACGGUCCAGACUCCUACGGGAGGCAGCAGUGGGGAAUUUUGGACAAUGGGCGAAAGCCUGAUCCAGCCAUUCCGCGUGAGUGAAGAAGGCCUUCGGGUUGUAAAGCUCUUUCGGCAGGAACGAAACGGUGAAGGCUAAUAACCUUUACUAAUGACGGUACCUGAAGAAGAAGCACCGGCUAACUACGUG